UAAAUAGAUUGGUUCGGAUUGGUUCCAUGAUUUAAACGGAUUGGAUUGGUUCCAAUUUUUCAGGAACCGUAGAUAACGGAUUGGUCAUGGUUUUACCCCAAUCCGGAUCAUGCUCACCCCUAUUUGUAUGCUACACUUCACAUAUGGCUCUGAGAAAGCUUUGAAGAAGGAAGAAAGCUCUGAGAAACCCAGGCUCAUGAAAUCAAUUACUGAUGCUGAUCUGAACAAUUUGCUAGAGCGAAAAAAAUGGGUUUAUCAAGUAAAUAUGACAGCCACGGUCUAGGCUUCGCAUAGCCGCAUUUUUCAAUUUAAACUUGUGAAUGCUUCCAACUUCAGUGUGAGGUCAAUCAAAAGCAAGAUUUCUUUAAUUUUGCUUCUGAGCAGAUACUCAGGUUCAAUUUCUUCAAGAAAGAAAUAUUAACGUUGUUAUCUGCGAUGAGCGUGACCUUAAUGUCAUCCGUGUUCGAGAGGCAAAGGAAAAAGAAAUUGCCAAGUCAUUGUUGAAGAAGAACGACAAGACCACCGUUUCGGCCAAGGAAAAGGAAAAUUGAUGUUCAGUAGCAUGGCUUUUCAACAUUUCCAUUUUAAGUUCUUUUUUUGACAUAUUUAUUUUGGAGCAUGAACCUCGAUCAUGUUUUUUUUUUUUAAUGUACAAUUGACAUACUACUUCCACAGUGCCAUAUACUGUUUUUAUAGUAAACAAUUUCAUGUAAAUUUGUGAAAUCUUUUUUU